CAGCUGCAGUCUGACGAGCACGCCGCGUGAGUGAAGAAGGUUUUCGGAUCGUAAAACUCUGUUGUUAGAGAAGAACAAGGAUGAGAGUAGAAUGUUCAUCCCUUGACGGUAUCUAACCAGAAAGCCACGGCUAACUACGUGCCAGCAGCCGCGGUAAUACGUAGGUGGCAAGCGUUGUCCGGAUUUAUUGGGCGUAAAGCGAGCGCAGGCGGUUUCUUAAGUCUGAUGUGAAAGCCCCCGGCUCAACCGGGGAGGGUCAUUGGAAACUGGGAAACUUGAGUGCAGAAGAGGAGAGUGGAAUUCCAUGUGUAGCGGUGAAAUGCGUAGAUAUAUGGAGGAACACCAGUGGCGAAGGCGGCUCUCUGGUCUGUAACUGACGCUGAGGCUCGAAAGCGUGGGGAGCAAACAGGAUUAGAUACC
rnacentral:rRNA from 1 species